AGCAGGUGAGGUUGGGGCGGACAACGUGUUGCGGAUUGUGGCGAGAACGUCGUCCUCCCCUUCUUCACCGCC
rnacentral:pre_miRNA from 1 species